GGGAAUCUGCCCUUGGGUUCGGAAUAACAGUUAGAAAUGACUGCUAAUACCGAAUGAUGACUCCGGUCCAAAGAUUUAUCGCCCAGGGAUGAGCCCGCGUCGGAUUAGCUAGUUGGUGAGGUAAAGGCUCACCAAGGCGACGAUCCGUAGCUGGUCUGAGAGGAUGAUCAGCCACACUGGGACUGAGACACGGCCCAGACUCCUACGGGAGGCAGCAGUGGGGAAUAUUGGACAAUGGGCGAAAGCCUGAUCCAGCAAUGCCGCGUGAGUGAUGAAGGCCUUAGGGUUGUAAAGCUCUUUUACCCGGGAUGAUAAUGACAGUACCGGGAGAAUAAGCCCCGGCUAACUCCGUGCCAGCAGCCGCGGUAAUACGGAGGGGGCUAGCGUUGUUCGGAAUUACUGGGCGUAAAGCGCGCGUAGGCGGCUUUGCAAGUCAGAGGUGAAAGCCUGGAGCUCAACUCCAGAACUGCCUUUGAAACUGCAUCGCUUGAAUCAUGGAGAGGUUAGUGGAAUUCCGAGU
rnacentral:rRNA from 1 species